UGCACUGAGAAAAUAUUUGAAAAAGAAGCCCCAAGAAGCUGCUGCAGAGGGGCCUUCUCUAACAUCUCCUCCACUCGCUGAAGAAUCUACAAGUCACGCAACAAGCAGCAGCACGGCUGGAUUCAGCACACCACCUCACGACUUCCAGUGAGACACAGCCUGAAUCAGGCUACCUAAAGCCAAAGAAAAGAGAAGCAGAUGGAUCGCUGCAAUUAGGAGAAACAACUGAAAUCCAGGCACCAAAACUUGGAUCUGUGGUUCCCAUUUCGUGUCAGGUAAAAAGAGUGAUGAUCCUCUACACCCAGACCAUGUGCCAAGUUUAUUCAGUUUCACCUCCACCGCUGAUAAGACUCGGGCUGUCAACAACCUGGAGAGAUAUCUAUGAUCUCAAAACUUUUCUGACAAAAGAUUUGACAAGAGAAAUAGAGGGCUAGCUGCCAAAGCUCCUCUGAACUUGCAUCAGACUCCUGCGUCAGAGCAGGAAGUACAUGCAGAUCAAGCAGAGGUACAAACUGAGACUGGAGUCCAAGGCACUGAGGUCCAGACAGAGGAGACACACAAUGACAUUGACUCAUUACAUGGGCAGAUUAAAUAUUUAAACAUCCAAUGUCAAUCACUCAGAGAUAAAGUUCACAAACUAGAAAGUGAGUUGAAGCAUCAUACCCUUGAUGCUUCACAAUUUGAUGACAGCAAAAUGAAAUUUUUCACGGGACUACCCAAUUUACAGACUUUCAUGUUAUUAUUUAGUUAUGUAUCUUCAGUUUUUCCUGCUACUCCAAAGCUGCCCCUGAAGCCAACUCAGGAACUGCUUCUUACGCUGAUGAAGCUGUGCCUCAAUCUGUCAGAGGAGUUUUUAGGCUACCUCUUUCGGAUUCACCAGUCAACAGUAUCAAGAGUCUUUCACCGUUGGAUACAUGUGAUGGCAAGCAGGCUUCAUCCUCUAAUAUUGUGGCCAGAAAGAGAAGACCUAAGACACAGCUUACCAAUGUGUUUUCGGACAUUUUUUAAGAACAGUGUAAGCAUAAUCGACUGCUUUGAGGUGUUCAUAGAGCGUCCUUCUGACUUAAAAGCUCGAGCUCAAACUUGGAGCAAUUACAAACAACACAACACGAUUAAGUUUCUUAUUUCAGUCACCCCACAAGGAAGCAUCUCCUUCGUGUCCAAGGCCUGGGGUGGACGGGUUACAGACAAACACCUUACAGAACACAGUGGGUUCCUUGAUAAGCUCCUACUAGGGGGACUUGGUACUGGCUGACCGAGGUUUCACGAUUGAGGAUAGUGUUGGUCUAUUCUGUGCAGAACUAAUAACAUCUCCAUUCACACGAGGGAAGAAACAGCUUAGCCAAAAAGAGACUGAAUCUGCUCGAGAAAUUUCUCGUGUGAGAAUCCUAGUUGAAAGAGUGAUCGGAAUGUUGAGGCAGAAAUAUACUAUUCUGGGCUCAACACUGCCUCUAAGUCUCAUUAGAGUGGAACAAAACGGAAGUGGAGGACAGCCUUAUAGA